rnacentral:tRNA from 1 species
GCUGUAGCUCAGUGGCAGAGUGCUUGCCUUGCAUGUGAGAGGCUCUGGGUUUGAUCCUUAGCACGGCA